GACGAACGCUGGCGGCGUGCCUAAUACAUGCAAGUAGAACGCUGAAGGAGGAGCUUGCUUCUCUGGAUGAGUUGCGAACGGGUGAGUAACGCGUAGGUAACCUGCCUGGUAGCGGGGGAUAACUAUUGGAAACGAUAGCUAAUACCGCAUAAGAGUAGAUGUUGCAUGACAUUUGCUUAAAAGGUGCAAUUGCAUCACUACCAGAUGGACCUGCGUUGUAUUAGCUAGUUGGUGGGGUAACGGCUUACCAAGGCGACGAUACAUAGCCGACCUGAGAGGGUGAUCGUCCACACUGGGACUGAGACACGGCCCAGACUCCUACGGGAGGCAGCAGUAGGGAAUCUUCGGCAAUGGACGGAAGUCUGACCGAGCAACGCCGCGUGAGUGAAGAAGGUUUUCGGAUCGUAAAGCUCUGUUGUAAGAGAAGAACGAGUGUGAGAGUGGAAAGUUCACACUGUGACGGUAUCUUACCAGAAAGGGACGGCUAACUACGUG
rnacentral:rRNA from 1 species